AACUAAGAACACCAAGAUAUGCUAUAUUAAUCUACCUAACCAAUUCAUACUGCACAGGACUUCAACAAACAACCCCCAAAUUCAGACCACAAUUGCAAAUAAAACCAAGGGAAAUGAUAAAGUCCACCAAAAUACCCCACAGGAAUUCACCUAAGCCAUCUCUCAAUCACUUUGUAGACACUAUGCCAACCCAUUCACAAUGUAAGUGUUAAUGCCUCCAAUAUAAGCCAAAGCAUAGAUGAAUCAC
rnacentral:lncRNA from 1 species